rnacentral:rRNA from 1 species
GACGAACGCUGGCGGCGUGGAUUAGGCAUGCAAGUCGAACGGUAUCAUCCUUUCGGGGGUGAGAGAGUGGCGAACUGGUGAGUAACACGUAGGUUAUCUACCCUCAAGACGGGGACAACCCAGGGAAACUUGGGCUAAUACCGGAUGUGAGCAACUUUUAGUUGUUUGAAAGGUGGCGUAAGCUGUCGCUUGGGGAUGAGCCUGCGUCCUAUUAGUUAGUUGGUGAGGUAACGGCUCACCUAGGCAAUGAUAGGUAGGCGGCCUUAACGGGUGGUCGCCCACACUGGGAUUGAGAUACGGCCCAGACUCCUACGGGAGGCAGCAGUCGAGAAUAGUCUACAAUGGUCGGAAGACUGAUAGUGCGACGCCGCGUGAACGAUGAAUCCCUUCGGGUGUAAAGUUCUUUUAUAUGUGAGCAGUGCUUCUUAUAUUAACAGUAUGGGGAGAGAGAUAUUAGCAUAUGAAUAAGCAACGGCUAACUCCGUGCCAGCAGCCGCGGUAAUCUCG